CCUACAUCUUGGAUGCGCUGGGGAUGAACAAAAGUCUUACGGGUGUAGAACGACAUGAGGGCCAUCCACCUCAGAGAAAUAUCUACAGCUCUUACCCCUGUGUCACUGUCAAGGACCCAACACACCCUCUUUAUGCCGGCACUUUAAGGAGGCCAAGGAAUGGAGAGAGGCCAAGAGAUCAUUGACAGAGGGAAUGAGGUUCAUCUCAGUGAGGUAUAAUUCAAGGCAUGUCAUAAAACAUCAAUACUCCUCCAGAGGUCUGGCCAGCACAGCUGCAUGCUCGGAAACAUUAUGGCCUUAAAUAAUUCAACACAGGAAGAAACUCCUUUAUUUUAGUGAAAAUUCACAUCUGACUUUCAACUCAUCUAAACAUACAUAGAUAUCGUCAUGAUAUAAGUAAUCUAUACAUGUGCUUAAUUAUAAUACAGUGUCUUUAUGAUGCAGUAAUGUUUCCCAUAAUUUUGUGUGCUUAUUAAUAUAAUAUAAUAUAAUAUAAUAUAAUAUAAUAUAAUACAAUUAGAAAUAUUAUUCAUUUUAGUUUUAGUAUUCAAACUCUUCAUUGUGACACAACAAAGUUCAGAUCCUACAUACCUCUCCAUUAUCACUGAAUUGUGAACGUGAUUGGAGUGUCAAAUUGACUUGAUUAGACAUGAUUUAGGAAAGCACACAUUUGUCUAAACUAUGAGACAGAUAAAGCUGCAGUGACUUUGGCAUAUGAAAAGUCUUUGAGAGCUCCAGCCAACUCCGAAGCACAGUGAACCCAGAGGACAGUGGAUUGAUUUCAAUUCAAUCUGACAGAGAGCACAUCCAAAACAACACAUAUACAAUGACUGGACUGCUAUGCAACAAGACGAAAGCCAACAUACAUCAUCUAAAUAAUUAUUGCAUGGAUAUUAUGCAAUAAAAUAAAGAGAAAGAAAUUAA